AACCAACGCCACGAACAGGACGUUCACCGGACUAAUGCGGUCUUUUAUGAAGAGUCAAAGGGCACAGGGUACAUGUCUUACCUGUGCUGGAGGAUCCAUCUUGAGUUACACGGACGGCAUCCUCGGUGGUUCCAAUUUCCAGCCCAUUCCCCAAUUUUCAACCCCAAUGACAGACAACACACGCUUGAAUGGCUGUUCAGCUAAAGAAGGGAAUUGCACAGUUGAAAACAUCUCAAGGGGACCAAUACUGUAGCAGUUACAAGUGGAAUAAACUGCUUAGAAGAUGUUCAAGGGAUGAUGCACAUAACUGGCAAUAUGAAUGUGAAUUCCCCGGGAACCCUGUUUUGCACACACACACACACACACACACACACACACACACACACACACACACACACACACACACACACACACACACACACACACACAGUGAACAACAUGAGAAAUGGGCAAAGAUCCACACUAUUCAGUGUGAACUGGAGGGUCCAAGUCGCUAAACUAAUCCUAGUACCACAGGAUCCCACUUCCAGCCCCGUCUUUUGCUGCAGCUGCCUGGAAUCAUUUCACAAACACAAGGUAUUCCUGGAAGAAUUGAUUCUGUUAGAUAGUGCAUUGAUCACACACAUCGCCUGCAGACAGAAGAUGGCUUUACAAGCAAUAAGAUGGGAGACAAUUAUAUUAUUUUAGUCAAAUAAGACAGAGUACAAGCAGCGAGUGCCAAUAGCUGAGGCAGGGGUGGGGGGUUGGGGGGUACACAGGCGGCCCCCUCUGUGGCUGCCUCGGUGUGUUUGUGCUCCAUCCUCAAGUGGCACGGUAAUCCACUAAACUUUCCUCCACCCGCUUCUCUCAAUGCAAUCAGGAUGCGAAGGCUCACCAGUGAUUGCGUUCAUUUGUAAAAGCAUCCAAGCCAAAAUUGAACCCCAAGGCUGAUAAACUAUAAAGAUGCUGAUCAGAUCGCGGCUAAGGAGUCCGCACUUGAGGGCACAAGGUGUCAGGGCUGGAGCCAAAAGAGCAAUGACUCUGUAUACCUCACUUGGAGCCAGGCGGCUGCCCCGGAAUACAAACAAGAGGAGAGAAAACACAUAAAAACGACAACAAACUGCAGUUGGAUUUUUCAUCCCCCAGCAUCUUUCAGAGGAGGAAUGUAUUAUCUGUGCAGCAGAUUAGCAGUUUUUCAGAUGUUGCCUUUUUUCCUGUCUUUUUUCCUUCUUCUUCAGAUUGGUAAAUUGGGUGCAUUUAUUGUUUGAGCUUUAGCAAAUGCAUUGUAUUUUAUUGAUGAGUUCAAAGUGAAUUUCAUAAUGCAUCUCAAGAAAAGUAGAAGCCCAAAAGACAUAAUGUUGAGGGAAGUCUUAUGUUUUCAACCGUGCAACAGAAUAUUAUGCCCGAUUUAUCAGAAUGAAAACAAUACAUAACUCUGCAGUGCUCUUCGAGUCCAAUCCAUUCUGUUUUUAUUGCAAGCUCCACAGUACUGCCUAUUGUCGCUGGGCUUUAAGAGUUACCGCAACUUUUUGUCUGCUUUACAGUUAUUUCUCACAGCUAUUGCAUUGUCUCACGCUAAAUGAACAGUGUCAUUACUUUAAACACACAUUUCUGCCUCUGCUAAAGCACAAAGAUUGAGGACAGACAGAAAGAAAGAAAGGGAGGAUCUGAGGAUGUUUUUUCCCUCUCCAUCCUCGUGGCCCCAGUGCGUUAAAUGUCAAAGAGCAGUCAGCGGGAGAGACUGAUUCCAGGAGGCGAUGUGAAUAGGACGAUUGAAGACCCGCUUUGAUUGACAGCUCUUCCUCUCUUGCUCUGCCCUGAGGGUGAUUGACAAUGUGGUUCAUCUCACAUUUUGUGACUGAGCUAAUCCAGUAAAUUCCUACCAGACGCAGCACAACUCAGCAGAGACCUGCCGCUCCUUUCCCAGGUGGAGUUUUUAUUUUAUCUCUUCUUUCCCAAAAUAAAUAUGUUUUUCCAUCUGUGGCACUGAAAACAAACCAGGGAGGGGGGCGGCGGGGGGGGACUAUAAUUAAGUGUAAGUACAUAAUUAAGCGAGUUUUGAAAAGUGCUAGUUUUCAAUGAAUUAAAAUGUAGACUAAUUACAUGUGGGAAUUAGCCUGCUGUUGUGCUAGUGAUUAAUAUUGUCAUAGGUUACUGUCUCAAUAUGCUGCCAGUUGGAAAUGGGAUCACCUUACUGGAACGAUUGAUCUCUUGCCAAGUUCAAUAAUUAAUUGACUCAACAAUCACUGACACACAACUAUCUCACACGUUGUCCCGCAUGCCCACAAGGUGUGCCGCCCGUCCUCUCGACCUUGCACCUGUAUUUUGAUGUGUGCAGGUUCCCAGAAAUCACUUCCGCUGCACUGCAGCUGGCUUUUCAAAGAGGAGCGAAGACACAAGAAUAAGAUAAAUAAAUAAGAGACAGAAUUAACUUGCAAGAGCUUCACCCCUGUUUUUAGGGUGUGUAAGCACGAUCGCAGUAGUGGCCAUAGGUUGCUGCAGCGCACUUCAUGACAGCUGUGACCCACAUUACCGCAGCUGCCCAAUAAGACGUGCAGUGUGAGAAAUAUUUGACGCCUUUCAUUAAUCAUCAUUCCUAAAUGAUCACUCUGCGAGGGUAUGCAUUUAAGCGUGAUUAAUUGCAGAGUGAGCCUAAUCAAGCAAUGAAUUACCUGCCUAACCUCUUGCAGAGGGCUGGCGUUAACCUCAAUUCAAAGCACUGGAACCCGGUGUGGUUAA